GAUAAACGCUGGCGGCGUGCCUAAUACAUGCAAGUCGAGCGAACGGACGAGAAGCUUGCUUCUCUGAUGUUAGCGGCGGACGGGUGAGUAACACGUGGAUAACCUACCUAUAAGACUGGGAUAACUUCGGGAAACCGGAGCUAAUACCGGAUAAUAUUUUGAACCGCAUGGUUCAAAAGUGAAAGACGGUCUUGCUGUCACUUAUAGAUGGAUCCGCGCUGCAUUAGCUAGUUGGUAAGGUAACGGCUUACCAAGGCAACGAUGCAUAGCCGACCUGAGAGGGUGAUCGGCCACACUGGAACUGAGACACGGUCCAGACUCCUACGGGAGGCAGCAGUAGGGAAUCUUCCGCAAUGGGCGAAAGCCUGACGGAGCAACGCCGCGUGAGUGAUGAAGGUCUUCGGAUCGUAAAACUCUGUUAUUAGGGAAGAACAUAUGUGUAAGUAACUGUGCACAUCUUGACGGUACCUAAUCAGAAAGCCACGGCUAACUACGUGCCAGCAGCCGCGGUAAUACGUAGGUGGCAAGCGUUAUCCGGAAUUAUUGGGCGUAAAGCGCGCGUAGGCGGUUUUUUAAGUCUGAUGUGAAUGCCCACGGCUCAACCGUGGAGGGUCAUUGGAAACUGGAAAACUUGAGUGCAGAAGAGGAAAGUGGAAUUCCAUGUGUAGCGGUGAAAUGCGCAGAGAUAUGGAGGAACACCAGUGGCGAAGGCGACUUUCUGGUCUGUAACUGACGCUGAUGUGCGAAAGCGUGGGGAUCAAACAGGAUUAGAUACCCUGGUAGUCCACGCCGUAAACGAUGAGUGCUAAGUGUUAGGGGGUUUCCGCCCCUUAGUGCUGCAGCUAACGCAUUAAGCACUCCGCCUGGGGAGUACGACCGCAAGGUUGAAACUCAAAGGAAUUGACGGGGACCCGUACAAGCGGUGGAGCAUGUGGUUUAAUUCGAAGCAACGCGAAGAACCUUACCAAAUCUUGACAUCCUUUGACAACUCUAGAGAUAGAGCCUUCCCCUUCGGGGGACAAAGUGACAGGUGGUGCAUGGUUGUCGUCAGCUCGUGUCGUGAGAUGUUGGGUUAAGUCCCGCAACGAGCGCAACCCUUAAGCUUAGUUGCCAUCAUUAAGUUGGGCACUCUAAGUUGACUGCCGGUGACAAACCGGAGGAAGGUGGGGAUGACGUCAAAUCAUCAUGCCCCUUAUGAUUUGGGCUACACACGUGCUACAAUGGACAAUACAAAGGGCAGCGAAACCGCGAGGUCAAGCAAAUCCCAUAAAGUUGUUCUCAGUUCGGAUUGUAGUCUGCAACUCGACUACAUGAAGCUGGAAUCGCUAGUAAUCGUAGAUCAGCACGCUACGGUGAAUACGUUCCCGGGUCU
rnacentral:rRNA from 1 species